rnacentral:misc_RNA from 1 species
AAGACGAAGACACAAACCGAGAAGCGACAUGAGAGACCACGCUGUGAGGUGGUGGCAAGGCAGAGGAGGAGGAGGACGUCGAUGGGCGUUGCAUGCACCUGUUCACCGAACAUUUUCCGCGCUGAGCCAAACGAAAACAAAAAGGAGGUGGAAGAGGCAGGAGUAUGGGCGGAUGCCCCCCCCCCCCCCCGGGUGAUCGGCGCCGCAGAGUGGUAAUGUGCGCAUUACUGCUGCUAACAGGUCUGCUUUUGUUGUACCACCAACAAGAGCUGGAUCCCGUGGAGUCUGCUGCGGAGGCCUCUCUUUUCUUGUUCCCCAUGGUGGAGAGGAUAAUCGUGAGAGAGAUUGGUGCCUGUGAUCUGCCUGUCUUAUUCGUUUUCGCGUGCGGUUGUGCUGCAGCGGCGCGUGUCUGUGCGCACGCGUGCCGGGGAGCUGCACGUGUAUGAUAGUGGCGGCGCCGUGUUGAACAUGCGCGCUUUGCCCUGGCGCAGGUCCGCUGUGCUUUUCUCUUCAUUUUACACGUUCGCUCAUAGCGAGCAAAAAG